CCUACGGGUGGCUGCAGUGGGGAAUAUUGGACAAUGGGCGAAAGCCUGAUCCAGCCAUGCCGCGUGUGUGAAGAAGGCCUUCGGGUUGUAAAGCACUUUCAUUGGGGAAGAAAGCCUUGGGGCUAAUACCCUCGAGGAAGGACAUCACCCACAGAAGAAGCACCGGCUAACUCCGUGCCAGCAGCCGCGGUAAUACGGAGGGUGCGAGCGUUAAUCGGAAUUACUGGGCGUAAAGCGCGCGCAGGCGGUCUGAUAAGCCGGUUGUGAAAGCCCCGGGCUCAACCUGGGAACGGCAUCCGGAACUGUCAGGCUAGAGUGCAGGAGAGGAAGGUAGAAUUCCAGGUGUAGCGGUGAAAUGCGUAGAGAUCGGGAGGAAUACCAGUGGCGAAGGCGGCCUUCUGGCCUGACACUGACGCUGAGGUGCGAAAGCGUGGGUAGCAAACAGGAUUAGAUACCCCAGUAGUC
rnacentral:rRNA from 1 species